rnacentral:lncRNA from 1 species
AUUGCCAAUUGGUUUUAGGUUGGAAGCCCACAAUCUAAUAUGGUAUCAGAGCCCGGUCCGCAAAAACUCAACCCAAUCCACAAUCGGUUUGGCCCAAUAGUUGGUCCACCGAUUCAUGCCCGAGCAUACCGAGAUUUAUGGCAAAAAAAAGCCAUCAUCUCGAGGGGGCGUAUUAGGGAUAACAAUAUCCCACAUUAGAAGUUGAGUAGGAUCUUAAGUGGUAUAUAUAAGAUAUGGGCCUCUCCACUCAUUGCCAAUUGGUUUUAGGUUGGAAGCCCACAAUCUAAUAUUUAUAAGAUCAGUUUAAUUUUCGUGAAUCUUCUAUGAUAUCUCGUGUGGUUUGUGUUAACUUAUAGUGUAAGAACAAAAGAUUAUAAGACCCACUAGAUGUGGCCGAAAUAACUACAUGGUAAGAUAAUUGUGUAAACAAGUUGUUCACAAU